rnacentral:rRNA from 1 species
CAGAGUUUGAUCCUGGCUCAGAUUGAACGCUGGCGGCAUGCUUUACACAUGCAAGUCGAGCGGCAGCGCGGGGGCAACCCUGGCGGCGAGCGGCGAACGGGUGAGUAAUGCAUCGGAACGUAUCCCGGAGUGGGGGACAACCCAGCGAAAGCUGGGCUAAUACCGCAUAUGCUCUGUGGAGGAAAGUGGGGGACCCGCGAGGGCCUCAUGCUCUGGGCGCGGCCGAUGUCCGAUUAGCUGGUUGGUGGGGUAACGGCUUACCAAGGCGACGAUCGGUAGCUGGUCUGAGAGGAUGAUCAGCCACACUGGGACUGAGACACGGCCCAGACUCCUACGGGAGGCAGCAGUGGGGAAUAUUGGACAAUGGGCGCAAGCCUGAUCCAGCCAUGCCGCGUGAGUGACGAAGGCCUUAGGGUUGUAAAGCUCUUUUGGCGGGGACGAUAAUGACGGUACCCGCAGAAUAAGCUCCGGCUAACUCCGUGCCAGCAGCCCCGGUCAA